UGAGACUUCCCGUAUCUGCAGGCAAGUGGACUCGAAGCUGUACGAAUGUAUAAAGCUCCUAGAUUGAUACGGGUCCUUGGACAUGAAGAACUAUCUCAUUUCUAACCAAGUCUAAGAGUAGCAACUUUCCUGCUAAGAGAAUUUGCAACGUUCUCCUAAGGGUCAGCGGAAGACACUGGGGGGUCUGAGACCUCAAAGCUCCUUCAGAGAAAGCUGUCUGGCUUCAUAAACAGAGCCCUGCUGUUUGCAUGGUUCAGGUCUGUGGAGCAACAUGAAGGCUGUUUCCAAAGGAUGGCAUCAUAUGAUUGCUGGAGCCUCCAACUCACUACAUAGUUAAAAAUGACCUUCAGCUUCUAAGCCUCCUGGCUCCGCCUUUGUUGGGAUUACAGAACAAACGUUCAUUAAAUGAUUGAGGUAUUCAU
rnacentral:lncRNA from 1 species